UGGGGAAUUUUGGACAAUGGGCGAAAGCCUGAUCCAGCAAUGCCGCGUGUGUGAAGAAGGCCUUCGGGUUGUAAAGCACUUUUGUCCGGAAAGAAAUCCUUGGCUCUAAUACAGUCGGGGGAUGACGGUACCGGAAGAAUAAGCACCGGCUAACUACGUGCCAGCAGCCGCGGUAAUACGUAGGGUGCAAGCGUUAAUCGGAAUUACUGGGCGUAAAGCGUGCGCAGGCGGUUUGCUAAGACCGAUGUGAAAUCCCCGGGCUCAACCUGGGAACUGCAUUGGUGACUGGCAGGCUAGAGUAUGGCAGAGGGGGGUAGAAUUCCACGUGUAGCAGUGAGAUGCGUAGAGAUGUGGAGGAAUACCGAUGGCGAAGGCAGCCCCCUGGGCCAAUACUGACGCUCAUGCACGAAAGCGUGGGGAGCAAACAGGAUUAGAUACCCUGGUAGUCCACGCCCUAAAACGAUGUCAACUAGUUGUUGGGGAUUCAUUUCCUUAGUAACGUAGCUAACGCGUGAAGUUGACCGCCUGGGGAGUACGGUCGCAAGAUUAAAACUCAAAGGAAUUGACGGGGUC
rnacentral:rRNA from 1 species